rnacentral:rRNA from 1 species
UAACGAAUCUUCCGCAAUGCACGAAAGUGUGACGGAGCGACGCCGCGUGUAGGACGAAGCCCUUCGGGGUGUAAACUACUGUCAGGGGAAAGAAAGUUCUGAUCUACCCCAGAGGAAGGGACGGCUAACUCUGUGCCAGCAGCCGCGGUAAGACAGAGGUCCCGAGCGUUAGGCGGAAUCACUGGGCUUAAAGCGUGUGUAGGCGGAUGCCUAAGUACCUUGUGAAAUCCCACGGCUCACCCGUGGAACUGCUUGGUAUACUGGGUGUCUUGAGCCACUUAGGGGCUACCGGAACAAAUGGUGGAGCGGUGAAAUGCGUAGAUAUCAUUUGGAACGCCAAUGGUGAAAACAGGUAGCUGGGAGUGUGCUGACGCUGAGACACGAAAGCCAGGGGAGCAAACG